rnacentral:lncRNA from 1 species
GCUUCUACUGUAUAUGCCAAUGUUUAUUGCUGAUUUCAAAGUCAUCAACUAGUUUCAAAUUUUUAACACCCAUAGGAAAAAAGUGAACUGCCUCUUUGGUGUGGUUGGUCUUCGGAACAACAUCCAUAGAACGGCUACGUCGUGUGUCAGCACUAAAACUACGGAUCGGCUUGUCGGUUUAGAACUCAAUUACAUAAUUAAAUGGUCUUUCGUUCUGAAAGUGCAUGUAGUAUUUGUGACGGAACUUCACGCAUGCGUUAAACAACU